AGCGAACGCUGGCGGCAGGCCUAACACAUGCAAGUCGAACGAAGCCUUCGGGCUUAGUGGCGGACGGGUGAGUAACACGUGGGAACGUACCUUUUGGUUCGGAAUAACGCAGAGAAAUUUGCGCUAAUACCGAAUGAGCCCUUCGGGGGAAAGAUUUAUCGCCGAAAGAUCGGCCCGCGUUGGAUUAGGGAGUUGGUGUGGUAAAGGCGAACCAAGCCUACGAUCCAUAGCUGGUCUGAGAGGAUGAUCAGCCACACUGGGACUGAGACACGGCCCAGACUCCUACGGGAGGCAGCAGUGGGGAAUCUUGCGCAAUGGGCGAAAGCCUGACGCAGCCAUGCCGCGUGAAUGAUGAAGGUCUUAGGAUUGUAAAAUUCUUUUACCAGGGACGAUAAUGACGGUACCUGGAGAAAAAGCCCCGGCUAACUUCGUGCCAGCCGCCGCUGUAACAC
rnacentral:rRNA from 1 species